rnacentral:lncRNA from 1 species
GGGAAGGUAGUGGGUAGUCUUGAAUUUAUUUUGGAUAUUAUAGGCCCUUUGCAGGAAUAGCAAGUGCUCUUAACCACUGAUCCAAAUCUCCAGCCCCUGGUUAACUUUCUUAAGUUAUAAUAAAAUAUGGUGAUUAUCUCAGUCUUCUAAAAGAAAUUAUUUACAGGCCAGCCAAACCUAGAGUAAUAAAAGAUUUCUAAAAAUAUUAGCUGUAACGAGAAGUAUGCUGGAAGUGGCAACAUGGAAUGGGUAACUAAUUACCAUAUUCUUUUAAAAACAGCCCUGCCAUUAUGCAAAUUGAUAGAUAGGAAGGAAAAGAAGGGGGUUUAAGGAAAGGGAAUAUAUCCAAUGAGAAGCAGGCCAAAAAAAGAAAAUAGCUGAUAACCUUCAGAGAAUAGUUCAGACCAUUUCUGUGAAGUAUUGUAAGGGUCCUCUGUGUAAGUGUUGGAAGUGGCCUUUGAAGGCCCUUUCUUGAGAGUUAAAAGAAAGACUGAGGACAUUUUGGUUUGUAUGUCCACGUUAGCCGUGUCCUAGAACUUUAUAACUGACUAUAAGGGCUGCCUCUGAAACAGCAGCUUUACUCGGGUGUGCAUGAUUCUCAAGCUCUUCUUGUAUUUUGUGACCACAGUUACAUGAAAUUCUUUUCUGAGUGAGAAAAUAAUUUGGGUGGCUGUUUUGGGCUGUACUUUGAUUGAUUGAUUGAUUGAUUGAUUGAUUGAUUGAUUAGAAAACUAUUUGGCUAGGUCUAGUGUAGACUGACUUCAGCACUUUUGUCCUUUGUAGUGCUGUAUAUUUGUUACCAGCAUCUCCACUAGCAUGGUCUAGUUCUACAAGAUGCAAUGAAUAGAGUAUGAAAUAGGAGAAGUCUAUAUGUGGAGAAUGGAGUGAGUAGCUAAAGAAGACCACCCCAUGGGCCUGUAGAUGAAACUCAGUGGGAGUGGACUUAUGGUGGGUGCUUCCUAUGCCAGCACUACAGUAAAUAAGUGCUCAAAUUGAAGCUCUUUGGCUUCUUUGUGAAAUUGUGUUUAAGUGUGUGCUUUUAAACAGAAAGCUCUCGGGGGCUGGCUAUUCCUAUGCACAAAGCUGUGGCUCCAUCUUCAACAGUACCCCAAGCAGGCAAGCUGCAAAAUUCUUCUGUAGCAGUAGCAGACAAGAGGGAGCUCUACCUUCCUUACCUGGGCUCAAGCCUCUUUUCAAGUAUCUGCUUCUUGGAAUUAUGCCUUCUACAGCGGAAGCAUUCAGAGGACUUGGAGCUCAGCAAAAUCCAGCAGCCUUUAGUCCACUAACAAUCUUUAGUCCACUUUCCUAGGCAGCCAUUUCCCUGUAAAAGUUAAGCAUGUGGCUGGAUGUUGUGAUGUAGGCCUGGAAUCCUAGCAUCAGGGGUUCAAGGUCAUCCUUGGUGACAGCAUAUUCAAGGCCAGCCUGGGUUAUAUGAGAUCCUAUCUCAAAAAAAAAGGGGGGGGGGACUAGAGAGAUGGCUCAGAGGUUAGUUAAGAGCACUGACUGUUCUUCCAGAGGUCCUGAGUUCAAUUCCCAGCAACCACAUAGUGGCUCACAAUCAUCUGUAAUGGCUCCUGAUGCCCUCUUCUGGUGUGUCUGAAGACAACAGUGUAAUCACAUGCAUAAAAUAAACAAAUCUUUUUUAAAAAAUCAACCACAUUUUAUUAAAUAAAAUAUACUUUUCAGUAUAUCAGUAUUUUAUAGUAAUGAAUUGGUAUUAAUAACUAAUAUAGUUUUCCAACUUAAACACAUUGUGUCCUUAAAACCCUGCCAUUUCAAUAAAGCAGGUAUGCCUUGUUGCAUGUGUCUUUCCUGUACCAGAGCUUUCCUUUAGAAACUGUAUAACAUGAGAUGCAGCAAUUGGUAGCAUUAUCCAGUAGAGUGUUUUCUCUAGAAGUUUCUAUUGGGAGCUGCUAAUGUACCAUUGACUCAAGAGGUUUUCUCCCUGUCUUUGAGACCCAGCAAGAACUCCUCGUCCCCAUAGUUGUGGUUGGUGGGGCUUUUCUAGAAAGGCCUACCUAGUGUGCUUGUGUCUGUGGUUGUUUAUAGUAAGUAGCUUAGAAGUAGAAGUAAAGGUGCUCUUGACUGGCAUGGUUUUAAGUGGGCACAGUAAUAACGCCUGCCAUGGAAUUAUCUUUACAGGACAAAGCCAAAAAGAGAAGGAAGCAUAAGAAGCACAGCAAGAAG